rnacentral:misc_RNA from 1 species
GUUGUACUACUAUGUAUUUUCGUAUUUUGGAGAAAGAAACUUUAUUAGACAAAUAUAUGGAGUGAACGACUCAUUUCAAGGAGCUGCUCAUCUUGACGACCAAGGAUAUCUGUUCGACACGGUACCUAUUAAAGACAAACAUUCACCAAAUGACCAACUCAUGAUAGAUCGUGUAACCACUACGUGGGCCAACUUUGUUAAGUAUGGAGACCCACAACCGACAACAUCUGAAUUACUGCCACUGGAAUGGAAACCGGUUACAAAAGAUUCGCUUUUUUAUUAUAAUCUUAGUUUAAAUUUGAGCACUGGGAUCCAACCGUUCCCGAAAAGGAUGGCUUUCUGGGACUUGAUAUACAAAUUGUAUGGCAAAUACGAAAGGUUACCGACAACCCAUUAAAAGCAUUGAAAUAAAACUAUUUUUCGGAUUUUA